GCUCUUUGUCCUGGGAAGAGUUUGCUGCAUCUUCCAGUUUCAGUAAUCAAAGAAGCAAAGUUCCCUGCAGUUCUUCAAGGAACCUUGAGAAUUCAGAAGGUCUUGGGGUGGCUGCAUCCAUCCUGCAGACAAAUGCCAAUCAGCAGAGGGGCCAUUCCCAGGGACACAUGUCUGGCUGACUUGGGCCUUGGCCAGGCUGCAACUCUCCUGUUACUCUGGGGGAAAGCUUAACAACUAAGAUUCAGAGCAAAGGAAGACGAUGCCGGCAGCAGGCUUUGGGUGCUUGUGGGGCAGCAGGUUGUACCAGGGGCAGGUGCAGACCCCUGCCUCCCUUGCCUUCACCACAGUCACAACAGGCCAGGCCAGCCCAUCCAUCAUGUCUCUAGGAUAUCUCAGGGGUUCAAGGCCACCACACCAUUUGCAGCACACUCCACUCGCUGAUCUGUGAUAUGGGAGAUGUGCUUAUUGGCGAAUAAAUCACCAUGUCAAGUUAACGGCCUGUGUCCAAGGCGAGUGACUUCGAGGUCAGCAUAGCAGCAUACCAUUGGAUGCAGCGGGUUCUGCUUCUGCGCACAGUGCCUCAUCAGAACAUAAAUUUUCAAAUACCAGAUGUGAUAAAAGACAACAUCGAGCUUUCUGUUUUUUGAAGGAGAGGAGAAGGAGAUCCUGGAUACAUUCUCUGAAAGGUGCCUCCACUUCAUCACUGAUCCCGACACGUGGGAGGAAGGAGAGGAGGACAGUGAAGACCAUCAGCAAGGGAGAGCAGGUUCCCUGCCCUGGAUCCCUGCCCUGGUCCCCUGCCCUGAUUCCCUGCCCCAUGUUGUAGGUCUUUGGGCUACAUUUCUACCCAUUGGCUGAACAUAAAAACUGUCCUAUGAACUAUUUGGCAGCAAGUUCACAGCAAAGAAUAUUAACUCUGUGAGGCACCUUAGACAAUGCCUGGCUUAACCCCCACUUGACAAAUAAAGACACAUGUUCUGACUCACCCACCAUCCCAGGAGCAACUGACCAGGCUGAGGAACUCUGUCCACUGCCUGCAGCCCACUUGGCCUUCCACUGUGACGUCCAGGCUGAGGAACUGUGUCUGCCACCUGCAGCCCACUUGGCCUUCCACUGUGAUGUCCUUUCCAGGACUCUGAGCAGAGAUGGGUUUAUAACAAGCAUAAAUUGUUAUUUUGUAUCGAUCUGCACAUCAAUUUAUAUAUUUUGAAAAUUAAAAGAAAUCCAAUGAUAAGAAUUUUUCUCACAAGUUAAUUAAGGAAACUAGGUCAAUGGAAAUUUCUUAGGUUAUGAAAAUAUUGAUGUGAAUAUGUUAUGUGAGAAUCAUUUCAAAAUGAGUUAAAGGGGCUGGGCACAGUGGUUCACACCUGUAAUCCCAGCACUUUGGGAGGCCAAGGUGGGUGGAUCAUGAGGUCAAGACAUUGAGACCAUCCUGGCCAACAUGGUGAAACCCUGUCUCUACUAAAAAUACAAAAAUUAGCCAGGCAUGGUGGCACAUGCCUGUAGUCCCAGCUACUCAGGAGGCUGAGGCGGGAGAAUAGCUUGAACCUGG